UAACUAAGACUAUGUAUGCCUUGCAGCCU
rnacentral:piRNA from 1 species